GUGGGAGUAUAAGUUCUCUAGAAUAAAGUAAAGAAGCAUAUUCAACUAUAAACAACAUAAUUAAUUGGUUAUAAAUAAAUUAACAUAUAUUAUUAAUUUAUUUUCUAUCUGUACUGUUCAUAGAAGCUCAUGCUUAUAUGCAGGAAGCAUAGCAUUUCAUUUUGUAUAGUUUAAUGCACAAAGUUGAUCCAUCCAUGUA
rnacentral:lncRNA from 1 species